GUGUGUUUAAGGUUAGGAUUAAAAUCAGAUUUUGUCAGCUGGUGACCACUUUGCACAACUGCCUCCAGAACAAGAUUCAUGACAAUAAAUGCCAACCUGCCUCCAGAACAAGAAUCAUGACAAUAAAUGCCAACCUGCCUCCCUGUCAUCCCCUCCUAAUCUUUACAAGGCUGCAGAACAUGCAAGCUAGUGAUGUGGGGGUUCUCUCAUAACCCUCAGUCCCCAGGUGGGUAGAUGGCAGGUUGAAUAAAGAGAAGCUAGUGAUGUGGGGGUUCUCUCAUAACCCACAGCCCCCAGGUGGGUAGAUGGCAGGUUGAAUAAAGAGAAGCUAGUGAUGUGGGGGUUCUCUCAUAACCCUCAGUCCCCAGGUGGGUAGAUGGCAGGUUGAAUAAAGAGAAGCUAGUGAUGUGGGGGUUCUCUCAUAACCCUCAGUCCCCAGGUGGGUAGAUGGCAGGUUGAAUAAAGAGAAGCUAGUGAUGUGGGGAUUCUCUCAUAACCCUCAGUCCCCAGGUGGGUAGAUGGCAGGUUGAAUAAAGAGAAGCUAGUGAUGUGGGGGUUCUCUCAUAACCCACAGCCCCCAGGUGGGUAGAUGGCAGGUUGAAUAAAGAGAAGCUAGUGAUGUGGGGGUUCUCUCAUAACCCACAGCCCCCAGGUGGGUAGAUGGCAGGUUGAAUAAAGAGAAAACAAUAGGC
rnacentral:lncRNA from 1 species